rnacentral:tRNA from 1 species
GCCCGGUUAGCUCAAUCGGUAGAGCGUGAGACUCUUAAUCUCAAGGUUGCGGGGUAAGUGAAAAACACAUAAACAUGCA